rnacentral:rRNA from 1 species
GUUGAGUGGGAAGAAAAGCUUUGUGGUUAAUAUCCACAGAGUCUGACUGUACCACUCUAGGAAGCUCCGGCUAACUACGUGCCAGCGUCCGCGGUAAUACUUAGGGGGCUAGCGUUGUUCGGAAUCACUGGGCGUAACGGGAGUGUAGGCGGACCGGUAAGUUAGGAGUUAAAUGUACGGGCUCAACCCGUGAUCUGCUUUUAAUACUGUCGGUCUUGAGUAUGGGAGAGGGAGAUGGAAUUCCCGGUGUAGCGGUGGAAUGCGUAGAUAUCUGGAAGAACACCAGUUGCGAAGGCGGUCUCCUGGACCAAUACUGACGCUGAUGCUCGAAAGCUGGGGGAGCGUACAGGAUUAGAUACCCUGGUAGUCCCAGCCGUAAACGAUGGACACUAGUUGCCGGAGGAGUCAAUCCCUUCGGUGACGAAGCUUACGCAUUAAGUGUCCCGCCUGGGGAGUACGCUCGCAAGGGUGAAACUCAAAGGAAUUGACGGGGGCCCGCACAAGCGCUGGAGCAUGUGCUUUAAUUCGAUGCAACGCGAAGAACCUUACCUGGGUUUGACAUGGGGGUGAAAGUUUCCAGAGAUGGAAGCCUUUCCUUCGGGAACACCCCACACAGGUGCUGCAUGGUCGUCGUCAGCUCGUGUCGUGAGAUGUUGGCUUAAGUCCCGCAACGAGCGCAACCCCUGCCUUUAGUUGCCAUCAGGUAAAGCUGGGAACUAUAAGGGGACAGCUUGGUAUAACCAGGAGGAAGGUGGGGAUGACGUCAAAUCAUCAUGGCUCUUACGCCCAGGGCUAGACACGUG